GCUAAGGAAACAGCCUCACUCAGCAAGGGUCACCUUUGGAAACAACGGCAAGACUUCAAAGCAGAUCAAUAGAGAAAUACCAAGACCUGAACUUCCUAGCAAAUGCUCUCUUCUAUUUUAAAUAAUUUGAAGACCUUUUGGUGUACUCAAGUCACAAAGGAUAUUUGGUGGUGGACCGUGGACAAUCCAGACCAAACCUCCAGAGGGAAGGCAACCAAGGUACCAUGUGAAGGCCUGGGCAUAUAACAUGAAACAAGAAAGAUAAGGCCCGUGCUUACAUAGAACUUGGUGAAGAAUCUAGACCAUAACAAGCACACAGAGAAAACGUAUCACAAAUUGUGCUAAAGUUCUGUAAAGGGAUUAAGAUGAAGUGUCACAAGACUGAAUUAGACAGAGUGCCCUUGAAAGAGUGCCAAUUUUUAGAAUGGAGGGUGUAGAUCCAUCCUUUGCAACUGGUGAGGACCUCCUCAGUAAGGCACUGAGCCAGGAGUCUAUACAGCCAUGCCAGCAGGGAGCACUGUCUUUCAUUGUCUGAUGUUUAUUGCAAACCUGUUCUUUUCAGCUUUUUGUUGUUUCAGCCUAGUCCAAAGACGUUUACAUCCUGGAAGAGAACUUGCUGGCUUUUCACCUCAGCAUGUAUGGGCCAAACUAAUAUAACAAGAAGUCUUGAGAGGAGUCAGCGGCCAAGCUCCAUGUCUUGCAGCCAAACAAUGCUGUGGGAUGGAAGGUGGGAUGUCAUGUGUCUGGUUUACAGCACUCACGUAUCAGUUGGCAGUUAACGGAAGUGCUACUGAUUGUAACAGUGGAAGCAAUUUGAAAUGAAAUACAACACUUAAAGCAAAUGAAACGGAAGUGAAUGCCAGCAGUAAAUGGCAAGAAGAAAUCCAGUUCAGUGUGUUCCUCAGAAAUCUUGCCUCUUGGGACUAAAUGCUGCAAAUGUAACUCUUAUCCUUGUUUUUCAAGUUUUACCAUCUCAAAGCUAUCCACUUUAUAUUAAAUUAGUUCUGUUAUAUUAUGUCAAUUUGUAUUCUUAAGAGCACAAGUUUGGCCUCAAAUAGACCUGAGCUGAGAUCCAAUUCUUUAAUUUAUCUGUGUUGUUUUCUUUUUCCUUAGCUUUAAAGUGGAAAAAAUGCUACUUACAUUUUAUUUAUGAAGGUUAAAGAUAAAGUGUCUGAUAUGGGACCUAUCAUAUGUGGUAGGCACUUAGUACAUGGUAGCAAUUAUGAUUAUUAUAUCUGAUAUUAGCAUUAUUAUUAUGAUUUGUUUUAAUCUUCAAAGUAUCAACUGUUUCUAUUACAUUUGUGGUAAAUACUCCUAAACAGAGUUUUUAAGUUCAAGUGUCCAAAGUUGUUAGAAACAAAGAUAUUUGACAAUAACAUAAUCAUAUCACAUGACCUCAUGAUUUAACCACCUCCCAAAGUUGCCACCUCCUAAUAUUAUCACCUUGGGGGUGAGGUUUCAACAUAUGAAUUUUAGAGGAACAUAAACAUUCAGACCAUAGCAAUAAUGAAGAUAAAGAGUUUAUUCAUAGAUAAAUGUUAAGAAGUAGAUACUGUUUGUUAGGAGAAGUGUCCACAGUUAGGGAGAAGUUAGAGGUCUGGUGUCAUCUUUGAUUUUUGUGUUUCUUCCGGAACCCUGUUGCCUGGCUUCCUACACUAUUUCUUGUGUCUUUUUCUUGUAGCUAAACUUGAACAUUUUUUCCUUGAGUACCAUUUUACAAUCAACUGUGCUUUUAUGCAGUGGACUUUCACUGAAUGUCCCCUAUUGGAAAUUUUAACAACAAUUUAACAACUAUUUAUUUGAUACUUUCUGUAUAACCAAUAUUAUUGAACAUCCUAGGAACACAUACAUAAAUAAAACUUGAUCUCUGCUUUCAGAAAAGUUGAUCUAUUUGGAAAGAUAUCAAGAAAAUAAACAACCUCAACAUUAAAAAAAAAAAAAAAAAAAAAAAAAA
rnacentral:lncRNA from 1 species